rnacentral:rRNA from 1 species
AUUGAACGCUGGCGGCAGGCCUAACACAUGCAAGUCGAACGAGUGGCGGACGGGUGAGUAAUGUAUGGGAAACUGCCCGAUGGAGGGGGAUAACUACUGGAAACGGUAGCUAAUACCGCAUACCAUCAGAUGUGCCCAGAUGGGAUUAGCUUGUUGGUGGGGUAAAGGCUCACCUAGGCGACGAUCCCUAGCUGGUCUGAGAGGAUGACCAGCCACACGGGGACUGAGACACGGCCCAGACUCCUACGGGAGGAAGCAGUGGGGAAUAUUGCACAAUGGGCGCAAGCCUGAUGCAGCCAUGCCGGGUGUAUGAAGAAGGCCUGAGGGUUGUAAAGUACUUUCAGCGGGGAGGCGUUACCCGCAGAAGAAGCACCGGCUAACUCCGUGCCAGCAGCCGCGGUAAUAC